CCUUUUUUGUUCCUUAAAGCUGUUCUCCUCAAACCUUGUACUUAGAGAUACUGCUGGAAGCAUAUAUUAAACACCUGUUAUAUACCAGGCUGGAUGCUGGGAUUACAGAGAAGAUAAUGUGACAGACUUUGCCCGUAAAGAGUUGACAAUCUAUCAAAUAUUCCGUGCUGAUGGAACUACUGAAGCUCAUCUUCCAUGUGUAGCACCAGCUGGAUUCCCUGGCCAUUAUAUCAUUAAACCAGGAGAUUCAGCUCAACUUCCAAGGGGAAAAAAUGGAAUUGAGAUAAACAGGAAGAAAAAAAUCUCCAUUUCUGAAUUCCAAUCACAUAGCCUCAGGACUACUUAAAAACUCCUUUUAAUUUGAUGAAUAGUGGAAGCUGCUGUUGAAAGUUAACUCUAUAGUAGGUGGAUUUUCAACUGAAGACAGGUAGAGCCUCUUUUUUUUUCUUCCCCUACCUUCCUUUUGAAAAGAAUUUGAAUUAGGUAUCCAAUGGUUGUUCCCAAUCAAGAGCCCUAGCAAGAUAAGAGGGCAUUGCUGGCUAACGCAUCCCCAAAGAUAAGAGAGCUUAUUUCAUUGAAUUAUUGAGUUGAUAAGACAACAGCAUGCAGCCUUCUGUCCUUAUUCCAUUUGGGAUGCUACUGCACAGGAGGAAUAAGCCAUAAAUAUUUGACAAACUAAUCACUUGCAGUGGGU
rnacentral:lncRNA from 1 species